UUUAAAUACAACCAUAAGUUUUCGUGUCUAAUUUUAAUCGUCCGUCUUAUUUAAAGAUUUUUUAUAAUUAGUAUUUUUGUUAUGAGAUGUUAAAACAUGAAUAGUUUACUCGUAACUUAUGUUUUUAAUUUUUUUUAAAGAAAAAAUUAAAUAAGACGGACGGUUAAAGUUUGACUCGAAAAACUAUGGCUGCACUUAAA
rfam:Oryza sativa (indica cultivar-group) chromosome 1, whole genome shotgun sequence.